CCUCAAGAUAUAGAUAAAACGAUUCCAACUCUUAAAAAGGGAGUGAAAAGUGCAUUCUUCACAAAGGCAAAAUAGAGAACAGAUUAUACUUCAUAUGAAAAGAAGAGGUCAAGGUUUUUCAGCAAGAAAAUUAAGCUACAAAUUCAUUUGAGGUACGAAUGCUUCCACUUAUUGAGGGUGUUGAAUUCACCCUUGGUUUUAGUGUAUUAUGGUUUUGAAUGUCAUUUUGUGUAAUGUAAUAUUGAUUUAAUUGUAAUUUUGUGCAUUUUAAGUGAUUAUUUGGGUUUUGAGAAGUGAGGAAAUGAUUUGGCAGGUUUUGUACAGAAUAGGAAGAAUAUAGGAGUUUCAAAAUGGAGGGAUUAAUAGGGAGGGUGGGAAGUAAAUGGGAGGAAAGAAGAAGGAUAAUGUGUCAGUUAAAGAAAGUUUUUAUUAUUUGUUUGAAAUUAGAUGUUUCAUUAGUGGUUGGUUUGCAAAACCAUUUAUAUUGAAAAUUUCCAAAGGCAGUAUUUGCUUGCAGCUUGGGGUUUCAUGGAUAUCAUCAUCGCUAACGUAAUGUUUGUUGAUACGUUGUUAAGUUCCUAAGGAAGGCUUUGAAAUCAAUUUUUUUUCAUACUUUAGACUAUUGAUUAAUUGAUACAAAGUGAAGUUUGACUUUUUUUAAACGGUGUCUGUCUUCUGGCCUGUAAAAGAACUGGGAAUGUGUUUUUCUCUGUUAUUCUGUUUUAGUUUUACAUUCUAGGUUGACUCAACUAAUAUGGUUUCUUCUGAGUUAAAUUUUUAAACUCUUAAAACUUUAUUUGUUUUAAACAGUUUCUGUCUUCUUUCCUGCAAAAGAGAACUAAAAAUGUGUUUUUCUCUUUAUUAUGUAUUAAUUUUACAUUCUAGGUUAUUUAACUAAUAUCGUUUCUUUUGAAUUAAAACUGUUAACUUAAAUUUGUAGAGUGUUUUUUUUCAUAUUUGUUUUCUCUUCUGUUGUUUUGGGUGGUUUUUUUAAUGAUCUUUAUGCGAUGUUUUUGUGUGUGGGUACUUAAAUUCCUGUUUUGUGUUUUUAUUUUGAUCCCAGUUGCUAAAAACUGAAUUUUUUGUUGUUGUAAAUGUAUAUAUAAAAUAUCACUGUUUGGAAUGAUUUGAAUUCAUUUUAAAUUUUGUUAAAUUCAUUGAUUAACAGAUGACAUAGUUUAUGAUAUGCUGUAUAUGAUUUGAGUGAUUUUAUUAAUUAUAAUUUUUCAUGAUCACAGUAAGGACUUGGAUCACUCUGGUUGUCUCAAAUCAUUCAAUGUCCUUAGAGAGCACGAGAUUGGUCUCCCCAUCGGUUAUUUUAGUUCGAUUGAUUUGAAUUUUGAGUGUUAUAUGUUUUGUUUUGUUCCUGAGAAAGUCUAGGAAAAUGAAGGUGUAAGGGUGUAAAUUUAAAGUAUGGAUUAGGGGUUUACAUUUUUAGGGUCUUUAACUGUGGAUCAAAUAGGGUUGAUCACGUUAGAAGGGAAUUUCAAGUUCAAUUACUACUAUGACAAAAUGCUUAAUAAGCUUGCUUAUCUUGGAGUGAGUUGAAUCCAUUUUUGUUAAAUUUAUUGAUUAUCAAAUGGUGUACUUUGUGACAUACUGUGAUAUGAUUUGAGCUAUUUUAUUGAUUUUAAUUUUUCAUUAUCAUAGUGGGAACUUGGAUCAGUCUGAUUGUGUCUAAUUGUUAUAUUGUUCUCCAAGAACACAAGGUUGGUCUCCCUCUUUGUUGCAAGAAAUUGGGGGAUGAAUUUGGUUUCAGGGGAAUGUUAUCCUUUUUUAUUCUUAUACUGCACAGAAAGAAAAAAAAAACAAUGCAUUGGGUGCAAGUAUGUGUUUUUUUAUUAUUUAUUUCUGUAGUGUGAAAGUCAAUUGUGUUUUUGUUGCAGCAGUCGGGUUUUACUUACUCUUGGUCUACCGCCAGCAUUG